rnacentral:tRNA from 1 species
AACGCAAUAAUUUAAUGGUAGAAUAUGGUGCUACGGACACAAUUAUGCAAGUUCGAAUCUUGCUUGCGUUU